ensembl:lncRNA
ACGGUUGAAGCUUAUCGUUUCCAUAGCUCCAUUUACAGCAAAUGUGUGUGCCCUUCUUUUUGACUGUGUAAGUUAUUGGAUCAAGAAUACUUAUGUUUAGUAAGGGUAUAGUAACAACAGAAAGGGGUAAACUCAAUCUGAUGUGCAAACCACCUUCACUGUGUAUGCAUUGCCUUGCAAACACAGAUAUUCAAUGUAGACUUCAAUAUAGCAUUUUUCAGAGGUGUUUCCCUCUUUAUUUUGAGAAGUCUCAUAGAUAUUAAGAAAGUGCAUUAAAAUAAUGCAUAACAACAUAAAAAUAAUAAAAAGGGACAUUUCCAGUACCAAAAUAUACACAUUCCUAUGUAGCAUGUUUAUUGCAUACUUUCUCGCAUGGGAAGGGACCCUUACGACCACCUAAGCUCAAGACCUAGAACAGUCAAUUUCCUGAGCAAAAGAAAAUAUUUGUGAAUUCUAAUGAUUCAGUGCAUCCCCUCAGUUCUGGAAGAGCUCUAGCUAAUAAAUAAUGGGUCUUCUAGCCAUUUUGACUUGCCAGUAAAACAGACAAUCAUGAAGAAAGACAUGAAUGAGAUUGCUGUCUUCUUCACUGUUAUUAUCAUUAACUGUAGAUAUCUUUUUUUUUUUUUCAUUUUAGGUGGGUGCUAAGUUGAACUUUUAUUAUCAUCAGCUAAUGGCUAACAUUAUUAACCAAGUAUGGCUGACCACUGGGAAAAUGUCACUGGAGAAAGAGCCAAAUGACAUAUGAACUAGAUAUUUGUGGACAUCAAAUACUCCAUCAAGCUGAAUGAAGCCAGGCUGACCACUAAACAAAAUGAAUGAACAUACCCCCUCAACAAGAAGCGAUACUAUGUGAUGCUUAUGCAAAGGAGGUGUUCCAAGCAAUGAAGAAAAGGGCAAUUCCUCCCCCAGAUACUGAUGCAAGCCAAAGAAAGGCAAUGAGCUCACCCUGUGGAGCACUCACCAUAUUUUCAUCCCACAGAUGCUGUUUCAGAGGUAAGUUUUAGGCUGAAUCAGUGUGUUGGAGAUGCUGUAGCAGAUCUGUGUGCAUUGCUUUGUAACUGUCCUGCCUUAGGUAUGGUUUCAUUACAUGCUCUUGUUAACUGGAUGAGUUAUAGCAUGAAUUGAGUGUGCAGUUCAGUUGCUGUCACCUCUUGUCUUCAUUUGACAAAAGAGAUGAAACUUCUUGUGUUUGUGGAGUAUUUUAGCAAGUUCCCUGCUGUUAUUUGGAAGCCUGGAUUGUUAUUUGAUGCCCUCAUGAUUUGUAUGUUUCUCACACCAGGUGACAUUAAUAUUUAAUUAAUUUUAGACCAUCACAAAGAGAAGACUCAAUGCACACAAUGAUGUAAGUACUUUCCUGUGGUAGUUGUCACUUCAGAAAUUAUUAGGGUAGCAAUGGCUGUUGCUUUAGGAGGUCUGUGGCUGCACUGGAAUUACAAAAGGGAAACAUAACCACUGAUUACAGAUAGAGAGGCAAGAAAAGGCCAGUUUGCCAAUAGAUUCAGUACAUCUUUCCAAUGGGGAAAAACAAAACAAAACAAAACAAACAAAAAAACCCCAUGUGGACAAGUGAAAAUCUCUUCUGCAGUAGAGUGUAAUAUGUACUUCCACAGGCUCAUCUAUGUGUAAAUGAAAGAGAAUAAUGAAUCAUUUACGAGAAUAUAUGUAUAUAUAUAUAUUUGGGUUACAUGCAUUAUAUUUAUGCAGUGAUCCCAAUUAUAUUUUUGUAGAAUACAAAUACUCUCCUCCCCCCCCACCCCCUUUUUUUUGUGUGUGUGUUUCCUUUAAUGGCAGCUAAAUUAUCCUAUCUGCCUAUGCAGCUUCAACCUGUACAGAUUAAGGCCGGGAAAAAAAAAAAAAAAGUAGUCUUUCUUGAUAGAGAAAAUUUUGCUAGUGAUUUCUACAAGUUUACCAAUAUCACUUUUCUGUAGUCCCUACCAUAGGCAAUUGUAGCUAUUUAAGGACUUUGGCUUCCUACCAUAAAGGUAGGUGAUGGUAGGUCUUGGA